CCAGUGGUAUGGUGGAAAAGGCUGUGACGGUGGUGGUGAGGGCGGUUCUAAUGUCAGAUGCUAAUUGGAAUCAGGAGCCUCUUCACACAUUUUGGGUAUCUUUCAGGACUUUUUGUGUUCUCUUCUCCGACAGAAUGAUCACAGCCUUCCCAAAUGGUGAAUGCAUAGAUAAAAACCUGUCUGAAGUACAUCUAAGCACAGAGGAUAAUAGAGCUGGUCCUGAGGCUCAGAUGGUCGGGGCUGCUACCCUGGAGACAGCAUCACCACACGAGUCCUAACCAGGAGACCAAGAGGAACAAAGGACGUGAGCCGCAGUGAGCCACGCGCCCCCUCUGGUCGUUGUCUGCCUGGUUGUUGAACGACUUGGCUACCGUUAGAUUCCCCAACAGCAAGAAGUGAGCUCAGGAGAAAUGCAGCCUCUUCGAGGGCGGUGCGCCCCCUCAUCUCCGGUCCCUCCCUGGGCGCUCAACACGUAAGCCUCAGCCUCUGGCAUUCCUGCUCUGCAAAGUGCAUCUGUAAGAUGAAUGUCUCGUGGUGGCCCGUAGAAGAAACAUUUUGAGUCAGA